GUAGGGAAUAUUGGGCAAUGGUCGGAAGACUGACCCAGCCAUGCCGCGUGCAGGAAGACGGCCCUCUGGGUUGUAAACUGCUUUUAUCUGGGAAGAAAAAGGCCAUGCGUGGCAAAUUGCCGGUACCAGAUGAAUAAGCACCGGCUAACUCCGUGCCAGCAGCCGCGGUAAUACGGAGGGUGCGAGCGUUGUCCGGAUUUAUUGGGUUUAAAGGGUGCGUAGGCGGCUGAUUAAGUCAGCGGUGAAAGACUUCGGCUUAACCGGAGCAGUGCCGUUGAUACUGGUUGGCUUGAGUGUCGGAGGGGUACAUGGAAUUGGUGGUGUAGCGGUGAAAUGCAUAGAUACCAUCAGGAACACCGAUAGCGAAGGCAUUGUACUGGCCGACAACUGACGCUGAUGCACGAAAGUGUGGGGAUCGAACAGGAUUAGAAACCCCUGUAGUCC
rnacentral:rRNA from 1 species